rnacentral:rRNA from 1 species
AACGAACGCUGGCGGCAGGCCUAACACAUGCAAGUCGAACGCCCCGCCAGGGGAGUGGCUGACGGGUGGGUAACGCGUGGGAAGCUACUCAUACCUACGGAACAACGCAUGGAAACGUGUGCUACUACCGUAUACGCCCUAUGGGGGAAAGAUAUAUCGAGGACGGCUGAGAUCGCGAUGGAUUAGCUAGUUGGUGGUGUAAAGGCCAACGAAGGCGACGAUACAUAGCUGGUCUGAGAGGAUGAGCAGACACAUUCGGGCGGAGACACAGCCCGAACUCCUACGGGAUGCGGGAGAGGGGAAUAUUGGACAGUGGGGGCAAGGAUGAAGCACCCAUGCCGGGUGAGUGAUGAAGGCCUUAGAGUUGUAAAGCUCUUGCAACGGAGAAGAUAAUGACGGUAUCCGGAGAGAAAGCCCCGGCUAACUUCGUG